rnacentral:miRNA from 1 species
CCCCCAUCGAUUUGCUCUAC